UGGAUCACCUCCUAACAGGGAGACAACAAAAUGUUAAAUAUUAAUUUUGUCACCUUAGGUCGAUCGGUACCUCACAUCCUUAGUUAAUUAAGGAUUUUAUUUCCUAAGUUUUUUCUAGGUCACACCCAUUACUUUUUCCUGGGCCAUUAGCUCAGGUGGUUAGAGCGCACCCCUGAUAAGGGUGAGGUCCCUGGUUCAAGUCCAGGAUGGCCCAUAUCUCUAUGUUGGGGGUAUAGCUCAGUUGGUAGAGCGCCUGCUUUGCAAGCAGGAUGUCAGCGGUUCGAGUCCGCUUACCUCCACUGAUCACCACCUCUUCAUAAUUUAUAGAAGGGAAUUGUUUUGAGUUGUGAUCAAAUUCUGAACGAAUCUAGCUUCCUAAUAAAACUUAUUAAGAUGCUGGACUCAUUGAAUUAAUUUCAUUGUUUUCAGAGAACCUUGACAACUGCAUAGAUUAUUUUUAAAGACAAUAAGCAUCUUUAAUGAUGCAGAUUUAUUAUUUGUGCGAAUGCAUUAAAUAACAAUUCUAUUAAGCUGAUGCUUCAAUUUUGAAGUUAUUGGUCAAGCUACAAAGGGCUCACGGAGGAUACCUAGGCACACAGAGGCGAUGAAGG
rnacentral:tRNA from 1 species